GACGAACCGUGCGAACGUUGUUCGGAUUCACUGGGCUUAAAGGGCGCGUAGGCGGCUUGCCAAGUCAGGGGUGAAAUCUUUCGGCUCAACCGGAAAACGGCCCCUGAGUACUGGCGGGCUUGAGGGAGGUAGGGGCGGAUGGAACUUCCGGUGGAGCGGUGAAAUGCGUAGAUAUCGGAAGGAACGCCGGUGGCGAAAGCGAUCCGCUGGACCUCCUCUGACGCUGAGGCGCGAAAGCCAGGGGAGCAAACGGG
rnacentral:rRNA from 1 species